CAGUUGUUGUGUAGCCGGCACGCAACUCUUACUUCGUGCGAUAAGUACUAAUACUUAAAUGGAUAUUCGUCUUUCGUGUUGUAAAUUCGUUUUUUCGCGUUAUAUUUGCUGGAAUUUAGUGUUAAUAGACGGGUUUUAGUCGCUAAAUAUUUAUCGCGGGUGUACUUCGGAAUUCAAUGUUUUGUGAGUUUAUUACAGUUUCGCGUGUAUCUGGGAUCGGUUGCCGUCGGACGCCAGUCGUCCAUGUUGUGUGAUUGUAAAUAAUAUUUUGGAGUUGUGCGAACCAGUUUUGUCUUCAGCUGAACACGACGGGCGGCUGUUCUAUCUGUAUCUACUCGCAUUUGAUUUACGGUGUUCGAUACACUGUUAUUGGUGAAUUCUGCGCCAAAUAUUUAACUGAAGAUCAUCUUCUGACUACCAGCAAUGGCCUCCGUAUUGUCUAUGUUCCAGCGACCUUCAUGCACAGCGAGAGAGAAAGGAAUAUUAUUAUAGAAAUUAAUUUUGAGCGUGAAACAGCCACAGAUGCAUACUGUGGUGGAGAAUGCACUCGAGAAUCGCCUACCACGACAUCAACCAAUGAACACCUUCCAGCCUGGUGGAGAGCAACUGCGUUUCGACGGGAUGCGAUACCUCUAUAAUUUAUCGCUAUCUUGAAAACACUUCUUGCGCACACACAUUAUUUUUUAAACCAGUACAAAUAAUGCGCACAGGGAAUGACCAACUUCCUUUUACACCACAAACGCAUUCUUUUAAUUCACUUAUAAUUAGAAUUGUAUAUAUUUAGGGACCUUUGACGGUUGAUUUGAUGAAUGCUUGUGGAAUAACAUGCAAUGUAAACUUUUUAUAACGAUAAUCACUAAGAUUAGCUGGUUUAAGGACGGAUCUUAUUCGUCCAGCCAUUUGCCACAAACCAACCUUCUUGUACAAACUUUAGCGACAUAAAAACGGUUAUCAAGAGUUUACAUUGUAAUGCACAUACGCCUGACGACAUUUAUUAUAUUAUUGCUUCUCAUGCCAAUGGGACGACUUUGCGUUUUAUUUGUUGUAGUAAUGCGGAUAAGGGUGUUUGGUAGUUGCAGCACUGAUGUCUAGCUUUAACUCGCAAAAGGGACGUCUCUAUAGGUGUUAAAUUAAAUGCUCCGUGAGGUAGUAUUAAUUUGUUGCGAGAAUGACGCAUUGGUAAAUCCGAAAAUUGGGGUGUUAAAUGGGAUUUUCUUAUGCAAAGUGAAAUUGUUAGAGUUUUUUCGCGAGAGACGCGACUUAGAAAUUUCCGCGCGAUCUUUAGUGAUGUCAAAUUAAAUUCACCGUCGGGUUGUAUUCGUUUGAUGCAGGAAUUCGACCUGCAACCCGAAAAAAUUUGCUUAAAAGAGUGAUUUCUUCACUAUUUUUCGUGAAGUGUUUGUAUUUAUCGAGUUUGCACGCGAUUUCGGCGGCUUAUGCUACAAAGCGCGGCGCCUAGAGAUGCGGAAUUAAAUUCUCCAUCGGGUAGUAUUGCAAGUUUACGAGUAUAUUAUGAUACCAAAAACCAAUACUAGAAUUAUCUACCUGCUGUCCCCAACUAGAUGUUUACGUCGGCUGACAAUUUGUGAACACGUGUUUUAUUUGUGCGUCUAUCUGCAUAGUUAUUAAUCGGGUUUCUUGAGAUGUUAAUGUACUCGUAAUAGCAUGGAUAGAAUUUAGCAUUGAUAGAUGUAUGCGACGUGUAAUUAAUAAGUUAUCGCGCGUGGAAGUAUAAAUUAAGUUGUUCUUUCAAUGUGCGCACGUGUUUUCAGUCGCCCGUCGGUUAUCUCUGGUCGAUACGAAGAAUUCUUACUGGAUUUAUAAACUUUGGUGCAUUUUUUAAUUAAUUCAAUCGUGGAAAUAUACUACGAUUGUUUCCCGUGUGGAAUGAAGUCCGUAAAAUCUUUUCCGUAUCAGUUUGUGAAGUUUAAACAUUCAAGUAAGUGUAACUUGUAACUUAGGUAACUUUUACAAGUAACGUUGAACACAGGUACUUAAAUUUCUUGUAACAUAAUUAAAUUUGUGUAUGUACUAUCUUGAUUAUAUGAGUUGGAAUAAAAUUUAAUUUAAUAG